rnacentral:lncRNA from 1 species
GCCCUGGCUGAGGCCCAGCGGCUCCUCUCCUGGACUUGCCCAUGCUGUGGGCCACACCAAGCUCCCGCCAGGCCAGCUCAACGGCCCCUGCAUGCGGAGGCCCCCAGGGAGGGAGAGGAGAGCCUUCCAUAUCGGACGUCCCUCACAGCACAAGGGCUCUCCAGGAAGUGCCGCCCCGUGCUGCCCAUUCGGAACCCUUCCAGGAAACACGUGGGUCUGUAGCUGAGCUGCCUACUCCAGGCCACGCUCUCAGCCAACGGUGGCGGUGGCCUCCUCCGCUUUGGCGGUAUGGUUGCCAGGACCCAGGGGCUAGAGAAGUGGAUUCAGGAUGCCCUGCUGCCCCCAACCAGACCCUGCUCCGUGUUUUCAAGCUGCACGAGGUGCAAGAGCCCCUCUGUCAGUGUCCUGUGGCUGCUGCACAAAUGGCCACAGACUGGGCCUUAAAACAAGGAGAUCCACCUAUCCCCGUUCUGGAGGGCCGAAGUCUGAAAUCAAGCUGUGGGCAGGGCUGCGCUCCCUCCGGAGGCUCUAGCGAGGGUCCUUCCCACCUCUGCCAGCUUCUGGGGGCUCCAGGCGUCCCUGGGCUGGGGCCACAUCCCUCCGCCUCUGCCUGGAUGUGCCUUUACUGUCAUGCGGCUUCUUCUCUGUGUGGCUCUGUCCAAACUCUCCUCUUCUGGCAAGGACACAAGUCAUACUGGACUUAUGGCCCACCCUGACCAGUGUGGCCUCACCUUAAUCUGAUUCCAUCUGCAAAAAUCCUAUUUCCAAGGAAGGUCUCCUUUACAGGUUCCCAGUGGACAUGAAUUUUCGGGGGACACUGUUUGACCCCCAGUAUCUGCAAAGCUUGGUCUCUGCUUGACUUACACUCCCCUAGGAGGGGUCUGGAUGGCCCCCUCUCCGCUUCCCUCAGGGUUAGUGGACUGGCCCCCCUGGGCCGGGCACACCUGAGGCUCUGGGGUCGCUGUGGGGCAGAGCGCACAGCUUGCCCUCCUGGGAAGGCAGACAGCACCCCAGCUCUGCAGCUCCUGCUUGUGGGGCGGGAAAACCCAGCAGUGGUCAGGAAGGCCUCUCUGGGAGCGGGCACCAGAGCAGAGCCAGAGGGACAGCAGUACAUGCCACUUGUGGGGGGCAGGGGGAUGGCAAGGGCAGAAGCCUGAGCUGGAGAUGGGGACAGAGGAAGGGUCAGUGCGGCCGAG